AUUGAACGCUGGCGGCAGGCCUAACACAUGCAAGUCGGGCGAGCGGCGGACGGGUGAGUAAUGUAUGGGGCUCUGCCUGAUGGCGGGGGAUAACUACUGGAAAAGGUAGCUAAUACCGCAUACCAUCAGAUGAACCCAUAUGGGAUUAGCUAGUAGGUAAGGUAACGGCUUACCUAGGCGACGAGCCCUAGCUGGUCUGAGAGGAUGACCAGCCACACUGGGAGGGAGACACGGCCCGGACUCCUACGUGAGGCAGCAGUGGGGAAUAUUGCACAAUGGGCGCAAGCCUGAUGCAGCCAUGCCGCGUGGGGGAUGAAGGCUUUCGGGUUGUAAACCUCUUUCGCUAUCGAACGGGUAGGUGGAGAAGAAGCGCCGGCUAACUACGUGACAGCAGCCGCGGUAAUUC
rnacentral:rRNA from 1 species